rnacentral:rRNA from 1 species
AUACGUAGGGCGCGAGCGUUGUCCGGAAUUACUGGGCGUAAAGAGCUCGUAGGUGGUUUGUAGCGUCGUCUGUGAAAUUCUGGGGCUUAACUCCGGGCGUGCAGGCGAUACGGGCAUAACUUGAGUACUGUAGGGGAGACUGGAAUUCCUGGUGUAGCGGUGAAAUGCGCAGAUAUCAGGAGGAACACCGGUGGCGAAGGCGGGUCUCUGGGCAGUAACUGACGCUGAGGAGCGAAAGCAUGGGUAGCGAACAGGAUUAGAUACCCUGGUAGUCCAUGCCGUAAACGGUGGGCGCUAGGUGUAGGGGUCUUCCACGACUUCUGUGCCGUAGCUAACGCAUUAAGCGCCCCGCCUGGGGAGUACGGCCGCAAGGCUAAAACUCAAAGGAAUUGACGGGG